GCCAUUUGCUUCGUGAGGGCCUGCGUGCGACAACGUGACAGCGUUCCUGAGGCAGAUCGUGCACUUCGGGCCUCGUCGCGCUGCUCUUGGUUAACCGUCAAGAUCACCGGAACAAACCACCUCGGUGACAGUCCUCUGGGAAGCCUAAUCUAUGCGCCACGAAGUGCGUCUGUUUCGAAGACGAGGAUCCACAUCAGCGCACCUGGGGCGAGACGGGCGGACUGACAGUGCUUACUCGGCCGGUGGUGGCUAUGGAAUGGCAGCGACCCACGGAAAGGUAGC